rnacentral:rRNA from 1 species
GUCGAGAAUCUUCCGCAAUGGACGCAAGUCUGACGGAGCGACGCCGCGUGCGGGAUGAAGGUCUUUGGAUUGUAAACCGCUGUCACGCGUUAUGAAUGCGCAUCAGCGAACACCUGCUGCGUUGACAAAGGCGCGAGAGGAAGUCACGGCUAACUCUGUGCCAGCAGCCGCGGUAAUACAGAGGUGGCAAGCGUUGCUCGGUAUCACUGGGCUUAAAGGGCGCGUAGGCGGUGCGGUACGGUUUCGGUGAAAUCCCUCGGCCCAACCGAGGAACAGCCGGGGCUACGGCCGCACUAGACGGCAUCAGGGGACAGUGGAACUCCCGGUGGAGCGGUGAAAUGCGUAGAUAUCGGGAGGAACGCCGGUGGCGAAAGCGACUGUCUGGGGUGCCUGUGACGCUGAGGCGCGAAAGCCAGGGGAUCAAACGGGAUUAGAUACCCCGGUAGUCC